rnacentral:rRNA from 1 species
AACGUAGGUGGCGAGCGUUAUCCGGAAUUACUGGGCGUAAGCGUGUGCAGGCGGGUCGUCAAGUGGUGUAUGAAAUCUCCCGGCUCAACCGGGAUAGGUUAUGCCAGACUGACGGUCUAGAGGCUGAGAGAGGAGCGUGGAAUUCCGGGUGUAGUGGUGAAAUGCGUAGAGAUCCGGAGGAACCCCAGAGGCGAAGGCAGGUCUCUGGGCCGAUACUGACGCUGAGGAGCGAAAGCGUGGGGAGCGAACAGG